ACUUACGGCCAUACCAGCCUGAACACGCCCGAUCUCGUCAGAUCUCGGAAGCUAAGCAGGUUUAGGGCUGGGUUAGUACUUGGAUGGGGGACCACCUUGGAAUCCCAGUUGCUGUAAAGC